UCUCGCCCCACUCACGAUUCUCUCUAUCUCGGUCCCCCAAUCUGCCAUCAACACUAAAUCCUACAAUUAUUGUUUAUGUUUUGCUUCUUAGAUCAACUAAAUGUUGUAUUUCAGAGACAUAAUAGCAAUGCGAAAUCCGAUUUAGUCUCUGAACAUGAACCCUAGGUUUUGUACUUCAUUGUUCGUAAUUUCUGUGGAUUAAAAGUUCAGUUCUGUCAUUUUGGAGUACCGAUCAUCAUCAGUUCAUAAAAUUAAAGUUUGACAAUGAUCGCACCGUCUGUCGAAAACCCCAACUGAGAUAAGUUAACUUAUUCCUUCAAUUGCUUUCAGUUGAUUUACUCUUAAUUUAGUUAUAGAUUUGUCCAAAUGUUUUUGUGUUCGUUAGAUUAAGAAAUUAUUGUUGGUUUAUUCGUGUAUUUUAAUUACGAUUUUACUAAAAAAUUUAGAGGAAAUUUUUUAAAACUUUCUCUGAAGUUUUCCUGUAUUUAGGUAAAUAUUUAUGAAGGAUUUAGGAUUUGAAAAUAUUUAUUAUGCUCUCAGAUAGUUUAUGCUCAUAAUUAAUAUUAUAAUUCAACAUGCAACUGAAAAUAAUUAGUUAAAUUGAAGUCAUUUAUUUUAUUACAGAGCAGGAAUAUUAACAAAACUAUCAUUCUAAGAGGCAUUCAAGAACUGAAUAAAAGAACACAUGAUCAGAGAUUGAAGUCAUGCGGGGACUUGAAGUGCUUAUCAAUAGCCCAGAACAAACUUCAGAGUUUGAAAGGAAUUGAAGGCUUCAGUAAACUAACUAUACAUACUAAGAAGGCAUGUUGAAAGGUAUUCACAAAUGAUGCAGAGAAUAGUUUCUAUUUAAUCUGGCCGUUCAGUUUCUCUAGCAAAGAAGGUUUAUAUAGAGUUUCAAGUCAUUAAUGUCUGUUAUUGAAGAAUGGAAAGACAACAAUCUGUAUUGGGAGUAUGAAAACCAUCAUACUGUUUCAGCACUCUUGUCUUCAUUAUAUUUAGCCUUUAUUAAAUUUAAAUUUAAAUUUAAAUUAAAUUCUGAUUCUGAUUUGUAAUAA